UUAAUUUCAUAGUAUAUUAUAAUAAUAUAGUAUCAUAACUUACUAGAGUCUAGAUCUAUGAACUUGUCAACAUUUAUUGUGUUUUAAAUAAUAACAUUGAUAUUAAAUAUCCAUAAUCAAUGUGAAUACCAAGAUGGAGUUUUGCUCAAGUGACAAGUCUAUAAAACCUAAAACCUUACUUAUAAAAUGUAUGCACAUCAAAUAUCAAAAUUAAAGUAUUAUGUCUUUGUUCUGAGAAACUUAUAAAUGUGUAGUUUUGUGUUUUAACAUAUUGGUAUCUGAAUUCAAAGAAAAAAUAUAAAAUUUUUUAUGAAAAAAUUGAAUCUUCAAUCAUCGUUUACUGAAUCAAUAAUAGUAUGUUCAAUAUUAAUAUGGACUAUCUCAACUUAAAUUGAUAUUUGUUAUUGUCUACAACUACACUACUACCAACGUCAAAUUUGGUGUAUUAUAUUAUUGUAGUCAAUCAGUCUAAACUAAUUCCAUCAAUACAUUGUCGAAUGUUGUGGUAUUCAAUUUUCAGUAAAUUUAUAGGUGUUUUAUUUUAAGUUACUGUGGCACACUAUUGCAGAUAACGGUUUUCCAUUAAGUCAGUAAGAAGAAUAAGAUGGAUUCACAAGUUCAAAUCAAAUAUUAGACAACUAUAUAUAUUUAGUUAUUCAGCUAAAGAUGUAAUUCAAUAAAAUAAUUUAAAAGUACUUUAUCAUUUUAA